AGCUUAAUAGUUUAAUUAAAAUUUUUAUUUGUGAUGUAAAAGAUUUUUGAGCUU
rnacentral:tRNA from 2 species